rnacentral:rRNA from 1 species
CUGGCUCAGAACGAACGCUGGCGGCAAGCUUAACACAUGCAAGUCGAACGGACCGUAUACGCAGCUUGCUGCGUGUAUGGUUAGUGGCAGACGGGUGAGUAAUGCAUAGGAAUCUACCUAGUAGUAUGGGAUAGCCACUAGAAAUGGUGGGUAAUACUGUAUAAUCCCUGCGGGGGAAAGAUUUAUCGCUAUUAGAUGAGCCUAUGUCAGAUUAGCUAGUUGGUGGGGUAAUGGCCUACCAAGGCGGUGAUCUGUAGCUGGUCUGAGAGGAUGAUCAGCCACACUGGAACUGAGACACGGUCCAGACUCCUACGGGAGGCAGCAGUGGGGAAUAUUGGACAAUGGGCGCAAGCCUGAUCCAGCUAUGCCGCGUGAGUGAGGAAGGCCUUAGGGUUGUAAAACUCUUUCAGUAGGGAAGAUAAUGACGGUACCUACAGAAGAAGUCC